rnacentral:misc_RNA from 1 species
UCCGGUUUGUCACCGGCAGUCUGAAGUGAGUCCCCAACUUAAUGCUGGCAACACUUCACGGGGGUUGCGCUCGUUGCGGGACUUAACCCAACAUCUCACGACACGAGCUGACGACAGCCAUGCACCACCUGUGACCGUGCCCCGAAGGGAGGGUGUGUUUCCACACCUGUCACGGACAUGUCAAGCCCAGGUAAGGUUCUUCGCGUUGCGUCGAAUUAAACCACAUGCUCCGCUGCUUGUGCGGGCCCCCGUCAAUUCCUUUGAGUUUCACCCUUGCGGGCGUACUCCCCAGGUGGCGAACUUAACGCGUUAGCUUCGAUACUGCGUGCCAAAUUGCACCCAACAUCCAGUUCGCAUCGUUUAGGGCGUGGACUAC